AGUGAACGCUGGCGGUAGGCCUAACACAUGCAAGUCGAACGGCAGCACAGUAAGAGCUUGCUCUUACGGGUGUCGAGUGGCGGACGGGUGAGGAAUACAUCGGAAUCUACUUUUUCGUGGGGGAUAACGUAGGGAAACUUACGCUAAUACCGCAUACGACCUACUGGUGAAAGCAGGGGAUCUUCGGACCUUUCGCGAUUGAAUGAGCCGAUGUCGGAUUAGCUAGUUGGCGGGGUAAAGGCCCAACAAGGCGACGAUCCGUAGCUGGUCUGAGAGGAUGAUCAGACACACUGGAACUGAGAAAGGGUCCAGACUCCUACGGGAGGAAGCAGUGGGGAAUAUUGGACAAUGGGCGAAAGCCUGAUCCAGCCAUACCGCGUGGGUGAAGAAGGACUUCGGGUUGUAAAGCCAUUUUGUUGGGAAAGAAAAGCAGCAGGUUAAUACCCCGCUGUUCUGACGGUACCCAAAGAAUAAGCACCGGCUAACUUCGUG
rnacentral:rRNA from 1 species